UGGGGAAUAUUGCACAAUGGAGGGAACUCUGAUGCAGCGACGCCGCGUGAUUUAGAAGGCCUUCGGGUUGUAAAAAUCUUUUGUAUGGGAAGAAAAUGACAGUACCAUACGAAUAAGGACCGGCUAAUUACGUGCCAGCAGCCGCGGUAAUACGUAAGGUCCGAGCGUUGUCCGGAAUCAUUGGGCGUAAAGGGUACGUAGGCGGAUAAGCAAGUUAGAAGUGAAAUCCUAUAGCUCAACUAUAGUAAGCUUUUAAAACUGCUCAUCUUGAGGUAUGGAAGGGAAAGUGGAAUUCCUAGUGUAGCGGUGAAAUGCGCAGAUAUUAGGAGGAAUACCGGUGGCGAAGGCGACUUUCUGGCCAUAAACUGACGCUGAGGUACGAAAGCGUGGGUAGCAAACAGG
rnacentral:rRNA from 1 species